UCACUCAGGUUUCUCUUCAGAUCGUAUAAAUCUUUAGCCUUUUACUAAAGAUUUCCAGUGGAAGAAACAAUAUGAGUUUCAACCAAUUUUGAUGUUCUGCCGUAGGUGGGGCU
ensembl:snRNA U5 U5 spliceosomal RNA